UACGUAGGGUGCGAGCGUUAAUCGGAAUUACUGGGCGUAAAGCGUGCGUAGGCGGUUCGUUAAGUUCGUCGUGAAAGCCCCGGGCUCAACCUGGGAAUGGCGAUGGAAACUGGCGGGCUGGAGUAUGGCAGAGGGGGGUGGAAUUCCGCGUGUAGCAGUGAAAUGCGUAGAGAUGCGGAGGAACACCGAUGGCGAAGGCAGCCCCCUGGGCCAACACUGACGCUCAGGCACGAAAGCGUGGGGAGCAAACAGG
rnacentral:rRNA from 1 species